UACAGAGGUCCCGAGCGUUGUUCGGAUUCACUGGGCGUAAAGGGUGCGUAGGUGGCAUGUUAAGUUUGAUGUGAAAGCUCAGGGCUUAACCCUGAAAUGGCAUUGAAUACUAGCGUGCUGGAGGUUUGGAGGGGGGACUGGAAUUCUUGGUGUAGCAGUGAAAUGCGUAGAUAUCAAGAGGAACACCAGUGGCGAAGGCGAGUCCCUGGACAACACCUGACACUGAGGCACGAAAGCUAGGGGAGCAAACAGG
rnacentral:rRNA from 1 species